rnacentral:rRNA from 1 species
CCUACGGGAGGCAGCAGUGGGGAAUAUUGCACAAUGGGGGAAACCCUGAUGCAGCGAAGCCGCGUGAGUGAAGAAGUAUUUCGGUAUGUAAAGCUCUAUCAGCAGGGAAGAAAAUGACGGUACCUGAUUAAGAAGCCCCGGCUAACUACGUGCAAGCAGCCGCGGCAAUACGGCGGGAGCCAGCGUAAUCCGGAUUGACUGGGUGUAAAGGGAGUGUAGACGGCAGCACAAGUCUGGAGUGAAAUGCCGGGGGUUAACCCCGGAACUGCUUUUGAAACUGUGCAGCUAGAGUGCAGGAGAGGUAAGUGGAAUGCCUGGUGUAGCGGUGAAAUGCGUAGAUAUUAGGAGGAACACCAGUGGCGAAGGCAGCUUACUGGACUUUAACUGACGUUGAGGCUCGAAAGCGUGGGUAUCAAACAGGAUUAGAUACCCGAGUAGUC